UCUGGGCAAAUCUGCUUAUGUCAGCAGUGAAUGCCACUCAAGAAAAGACAUUGGUGAUUGACAGCAUGGAAAAAGGCUGAUGGAUUAGUCACCAAAGCAAUGAAAGUCGCAGCGUGUAACAACACAGUUUAUGAAUGCAGAAAGUGUAGUGCGUUGUUUACAAAUUGAAGUUUGCGGGAACCUGGAGUCCAGCAAGUCUGUCAGUGCCCUUUUCCAACAGCAUUUGCUCACUUUGUGUCUCUGUCCCACUUUGGGCACCAAGACUGCGCCCACGGAAGACAGCAAACUUAAGCCAUAAAUGUUGUGUGUGUUCUGACUGCUCCUCCAACCGCUGCCUCCCCAUCUCCCCCGACCCUCAUGGCCUCCCCAUUCCCUGAGACACAUCAGCA